rnacentral:rRNA from 1 species
GAUGAACGCUGGCGGCGUGCUUAACACAUGCAAGUCGAACGAUGAAGCCCAGCUUGCUGGGUGGAUUAGUGGCGAACGGGUGAGUAACACGUGAGUAACCUGCCCUUAACUCUGGGAUAAGCCUGGGAAACUGGGUCUAACACCGGAUAGGAGCGUCCACCGCAUGGUGGGUGUUGGAAAGAUUUAUCGGUUUUGGAUGGACUCGCGGCCUAUCAGCUUGUUGGUGAGGUAAUGGCUCACCAAGGCGACGACGGGUAGCCGGCCUGAGAGGGUGACCGGCCACACUGGGACUGAGACACUGCCCAGACUCCUACGGGAGGCAGCAGUGGGGAAUAUUGCACAAUGGACGAAAGCCUGAUGCAGCGACGCCGCGUGAGGGAUGACGGCCUUCGGGUUGUAAACCUCUUUCAGUAGGGAAGAAGCGAAAGUGACGGUACCUGCAGAAGAAGCACCGGCUAACUACGUGCCAGCCGCCGCCGUAA